GACGAACGCUGGCGGCGCGCCUAACACAUGCAAGUCGAACGGAGUCACGAGGAGCUUGCUUUUCUUGACUUAGUGGCGAACGGGUGAGUAACGCGUGAGUAACCUGCCCUGGAGUGGGGAACAACAGUUGGAAACGACUGCUAAUACCGCAUAAGCCCACGGAUCUGCAUGGAUCUGCGGGAAAAGGAUUUAUUCGCUGUAGGGUGGACUCGCGUCCAAUUAGCUAGUGGGUGAGGUAACGGCCCACCAAGGCGACGAUUGGUACCCGGACUGAGAGGUUGACGGCCAAAUUGGGAAUGGGACCAGGCCCCAACCCCCACGGGAGGGCGGAGUGGGGGGUAUUGGAAAAAGGGGGGAACCCUGAAGCAGCGACGGCGGGUGGGAGAAGAAGGGUUUUGGGAUGGAAAACUCUUGCAGUAGGGAAGAUAAAGACGGUAACUAAAAAAGAAGCCCCGGCUAAAUAAGUG
rnacentral:rRNA from 1 species